rnacentral:rRNA from 1 species
UUCCUACGGGGCGCAGCAGUGGGGGAUAUUGGACAAUGGGGGAAACCCUGAUCCAGCGACGCCGCGUGAGUGAAGAAGGCUUUCGGGUUGUAAACUUCUUUUGUCAGGGACGAAGCAAGUGACGGUACCUGACGAAUAAGCCACGGCUAACUACGUGCCAGCAGCCGCGGUAAUACGUAGGUGGCAAGCGUUAUCCGGAUUUAUUGGGUGUAAAGGGCGUGUAGGCGGGAAUGCAAGUCAGAUUUGAAAAAUAUGGGCUCAACCCAUAGCCUGCAUUUGAAACCGUAUUUCUUGAGUGCUGGAGG